rnacentral:rRNA from 1 species
UGGGAACUGCGUUNUGAACUGGGUGACUAGAGUGUGUCAGAGGGAGGUAGANUUCCACGUGUAGCAGUGAAAUGCGUAGAGAUGUGGAGGAAUACCGAUGGCGAAGGCAGCCUCCUGGGAUAACACUGACGUUCAUGCCCGAAAGCGUGGGUAGCAAACAGGAUUAGAUACCCUGGUAGUCCACGCCCUAAACGAUGUCGAUUAGCUGUUGGGCAGCAUGACUGCUUAGUAGCGAAGCUAACGCGUGAAAUCGACCGCCUGGGGAGUACGGUCGCAAGAUUAAAACUCAAAGGAAUUGACGGGGACCCGCACAAGCGGUGGAUGAUGUGGAUUAAUUCGAUGCAACGCGAAGAACCUUACCUGGUCUUGACAUGUACGGAACCCUCCAGAGACGGAGGGGUGCCUUCGGGAGCCGUAACACAGGUGCUGCAUGGCUGUCGUCAGCUCGUGUCGUGAGAUGUUGGGUUAAGUCCCGCAACGAGCGCAACCCUUGUCAUUAGUUGCCAUCAUUAAGUUGGGCACUCUAAUGAGACUGCCGGUGACAAGCCGGGGGAAGGUGGGGAUGACGUCAAGUCCUCAUGGCCCUUAUGACCAGGGCUUCACACGUCAUACAAUGGUCGGUACAGAGGGUAGCCAAGCCGCGAGGUGGAGCCAAUCUCACAAAACCGAUCGUAGUCCGGAUUGCACUCUGCAACUCGAGUGCAUGAAGUCGGAAUCGCUAGUAAUCGCAGGUCAGCAUACUGCGGUGAAUACGUUCCCGGGUCUUGUACACA